rnacentral:rRNA from 1 species
AACGAACGCUGGCGGCAUGCCUAACACAUGCAAGUCGAACGAGACCUUCGGGUCUAGUGGCGCACGGGUGCGUAACGCGUGGGAACCUGCCCUUAGGUUCGGAAUAACUCCCCGAAAGGGGUGCUAAUACCGGAUAAUGUCUUCGGACCAAAGAUUUAUCGCCUUUGGAUGGGCCCGCGUUGGAUUAGCUAGUUGGUAGGGUAAAAGCCUACCAAGGCGACGAUCCAUAGCUGGUCUGAGAGGAUGAUCAGCCACACUGGGACUGAGACACGGCCCAGACUCUACCGGGAGGAAGCGGGGGGGAUAUUUGGACAAUGGGGAAAGCCCGGAUCAGGCAAGGCGGCGGAGGGAUGAAAGGCCUAGGGUUGUAAAGCUCUUUUACCCAGGAUGAUAAUGACAGUACCGGGAGAAUAAGCUCCGGCUAACUCCGUGC